UAAGGCAUUUUUUCUAUUAUUUUCCCGUAUUUUUUACCAAGCGCAGAUAACUCUAUUUUCCUCAUUAUUAUUCAUGACGUCAUCAGAUAAAUCUCGGCGUCGCAACGUUACAUUUGUUAGUACCACUCAUUCAGACGUUUAAUUGUUAAUAAAACUAUUAAAAUAUGAUGCAAGUAUAUAAUAGUGACUGAUUUUUAAUCUCAAAUUCAAAGAUUUACGUAAAGUUUAUUAAAUUUAGCUGUUUUUUUAUCGCGGUUUAGGCCCCGCCUAUUUUGAUCAAACGACCAAUCAAAUUUUAUCGGGGUCGUAAAGAAGCUUGCAGUAUGAAUGAAUCGAGCACCUGUCUGGGUUUUCAACAGAAAGGAAUUUUCGUGUUUAAACGUGAAAUUUGCUGCAGUUUUGUAGUUUAUUUGGCAGACAAGUCAUGAAGGAUAGCAAGACUGAUUGUUGUCAUUAGGGCAAAAUAUCUCUUGCUGACCUCAAUCUGUAGCUUAGAGAAAGAUUGAUCAAAAGCUGAUAUAAAGGACUUAUGACCAGGGUGUUUUUGCUUCAAUUCCCUGUACUUAAGACAGUCAUCCACAUCUGAUGAUGGGCCAAGUAGCUGGACAACCAUGUCUAGUGUUGUUUUCUUUCUACAUGAUGCUGAAGCACAAAACAAGUGUUUUCUCUCUUGGUCUAUUGCUGGUACUUCUGGUGGUUCUGUUACGAGAACAUGAGAUGUUUAUUUAUUAAAAAAUGUAUGGGACAUGUACACCUACCAUGAGAUUGUAAGAAGUACAGAUUUCUCAUAAAAAGUAUUCACUAGUUAACCAAUAAUUGAAAAGUGAAUAAGAUAUUAAAGAUCAAUUUUCCAUCUUCCCUUGUUUUGACAUGCAAUAAUGGAAGGACAAGUUCAGAUGAUGCAGCCUUGUCCACACUGGUUUGCCAAAUGUCAUCAAUGAUAGCUCGUUCUUUCUUCAAAGAUGUUGAUCUGAAGUUUGCAGUAUCAGGACCUUGCAUUCGGACUUCAGGCUCAUCCACAGAGUCGUGAAAGACUAAUUCAGUGCCAUUGUAGUGCCACCAUAUGUUAUAUCCUGGAAUCAAAUAAUCAGCAAUGCGCUCAAGGUGUGACUGGAAAAGAGACGACUUGAUUCCAAAAAUCUCUUUAGGAAAGAUAGUGUUUUCCCGCUUUGAAAGUAAUUUUGAUUGUUGGCUUAUCACAGAGUUCUGUUUUGAGAAGGAGCAGAUACGGUUGUCAGUUUGCUGGCAGUUAAAUCUUAAAAUGGUGUUGUCAACAAUCCAACCAGGUUUUCGAUUAGUUGUACCUUCCGCGAGACGUCUUAGUGAUCCAAAAGUUCGUUCUUCCUGCUCGGCAAGGAUAGAUUUUGUAUUGAUAAUUCUAUAAAUCUCCGGCAGAUGCACAACCAAGCUAUGGAAAUGACUGCCGUAAAAUUUUCUUUGUGUCAUCUUUACUGGAAUUCCUAUGAUGGAUUUAGACAAUACAGCGAACAGGAAAGUUUGAUUAUACAACCUUAAAAUUUGUCUGGGAGUUCUUCUUUCAACAGAGCUGUAAGCAAUAUUAAUUAUUUCUACUAGAGAAUUAAUAAGUUGUGAAAUAUCUGACGAUAUUUUUCCAUCCAAUUGUAAAUUUUCUAUGAACUUUGAAAGUUUUAUGGCAUAAAGACGCGCAUCCGAUCCUUUAAUUUGGUUUUUGUCUCCGAUGGUGUUGUUACAAAAUUUUUCCAAAUCCAGUUUUGUAGACUUAAGUUUAACAUGAUGUGGCAAUUCUUGAAUUAUGUUUUGGACUACAUUUGAAAUGUCAUGUAGUGGCUCGCACGGGAGUACCUCGUAACAGCUGACGUUACUCUCUGUCAGGGAUUUUUCUGGAUAAUGUAGGAGGAGGGCAGGUGGGCGAGAUAUUCCAUGCAGCAAAUCUGACAUUUCUUCCUGAAGACUUGCUUUUGUCUUAAGCCUAAAAGUAUCAAUACCUCUACAUUCGAGUUCUUCAGUUAAUUCGUCUUUACUUAAAUUUUGGAAUGGGUUGAUAUUUCCUUGUUUUAUUUUGACCAGACUUUCCCCUUUCAAAAAUACUGCCCUGCGGUCUUCCAAAUCAGAGGGUGUUUGCUUAAAACAGCAUUCCAAAUUAAUGUGAUUUUUACUAUGUACACCGCAUAAGCAUGAAUAAUUUCCCCCUCUCUGCUGACCAGCCUCAAAUUGUCGUGCUGGUCCAUCUCCGCUGAAAAAUCUUAAUUGAAAAGUGUAUGGUAUUCCAUCAAAUAUUACUCCGUUCCUCAGUUCCUCUAGAUCUUCUGUUCUGGUCGGUGUAUAUGAUACUUGUUCUGUGUCCUUAGAGCCUGCAAAAAAAAAAAAAAAUUACAAACAUUUUCUUUUCGCAACUUGUAUACAUGGUAUAGAAAUUCUGUUACUACAAUUUUUCAAAUUUUUCAAAUUACUAAGUCAUAUACAUCAUGUUAAAUUUUGACAUGUCAUGUAAGUCAACAUAAAACUUGCAAAACUUCAACAUGUCUAACCAAAAUUUUAUAGACUUUAACAGUGCUUGUUCAAAAUAUGUAUGUAAUAAAUGGAGUAGGUACAAAUACAUGUAUACAUGAUGUUUGUAAACUAGAACUUGAGAUUCAUUUUGUACUAGUCUUUAAACAUUGUUAAAAUUUUAAUUUAUGAAAACACUUCCUGAAGGAUUUUAGGUACAUGUACAUGUAUGUGCUAAAAAAAUGUCCAAAAAAAAACCAUAGUUGAGGGAGGGUAGGAGGGGUCCUGAUCCAGAAAUGCCGAGCUUAAAAACACGAAUUCCCGGACUUAAAAAUCCCAAAUUCCUGAGGUCCUGAAAUUCAAAAAAAGGAUUCCGGGAUCCCGAAAACACCCAAUCCCGGAGUCCCAAUAAAGGUUCUAUCCCCCCUCAUACAUGUAGUUGUUCAUAUUACCAGCACAUUGAUUUGAGUUUGGUCAGCAAAUUGAGGGAUAUUUAGAAGUCAGUGGCUGCUAUAAGCAUGUACUUCACUGGUAAUGUUGAUUUAUUGUGAUUAUGUUUAAAUCUCUUAAUGCUGUUAGCAAAAAGUUUAAAUUAUUUGGUAUACAUGUAUGGAGAGAUUUAAAGAUGUACAUGACUAUUGGAUUGGUUUCAGUUAUUUGAUCAUGACCUCAUUUAUACAUUUAAGUUCUUCUGACCAAAAGUGUUACUUUAUACAAAAAAAGACCCUUCAUUUAUUUCUGCUUUUUAUAUCAUUAAUUACAAAUAUACAUGUAUAUAUACCAAAGUCUACAACAUUUUUUGAAAGUUUGGUUAUUUUGAAACCGUAACGAAAAAUAAUAUAGUAGAAGCUUUGAAACAUCGUCAGAUAUUUCAGUGUGUGAACUUAUGUUAAAAUGUUGCUUACACCUUUUGUUGAACUUUUGUUAUAAUGUUGCAUACGGCUUUUGUUAUAAUUCAUGUAAUUAUUGUUAAUAUCUUCAUAUAUUUUUUAAUCAUGUUGAUGUACAUGUAUAUAAUAUCAUUUUGUCCAACCUGCAACAGAAAAUUAGACCAAACAAUGCUACGUAUACAUGUAUAUAUUCAAGUGGCAGAUUUUGUUUUUUGAAAUGUUUAUAUCAAGUGAUGAAAGUUCCCUGUAAUCUUAUUUCUUUAUGAGCAAUAGGAUUACUAUACUUAGUAUGUGUGUAACUUGCAAGGACCUUGACCUCAUGUUGACCAGACAGUUUUUAUACCAGCAUUAUAUUUUCUAGUCUGUGCGUCCGUUUGUUCGUUCAUUCGUUUGUCUGUCCCGCGUAGUGUUAAAUUUUUUGCUCAAGGAAGUUUUUGAUGAAGCUUCUGUCCAAUCAACUUGAAACUUAGUUCACAUGUUCCUUAUAAUAUGAUCUUUCUAAUUUUAAAGCUAAAUUAGACUUUUUGACCCCAAUUUCACGGUCCACUGAAGAUGGAAAAUGGAAGUUUUAGUUUCAGGUUUAACUUUUAGGUCAUGAUAGUUUUUGAUGAAGUUGAAGUCCAAUCAAAUUGAAACUUAGUACACAUCCUAUGGUAUGAUCUUUUUAAUUUUAAUGCCAAAUUAGAUUUUUUACCCAAUUUCACAGUCCAUUGGACAUGGUAAAUGAUAGUACAAGUUGACCUCAUUUGUAUGUUUCAGUGGUUAAAUUAAAGUUUUUGAAUUAUGGUCUUUUUCUCUAAUACUUCUUGUAUAUAUAUGCAAUUGGUGAACUAUAUUUGGUGUAUGGAAAUAUUUUAGGAUGCACAUGUCAGACUUGCAGGAUUAAUUUGACCUUGACCUCAUAUUCAUGGUUCAUUGCUCAGUGUGAUUUUUUUCGAUUUACAUUGUACAUGUAAUCUAUUGUUCUUAAUUAUAUAUAUAUAUAUUAUAUAAACUAUAAGCAAUAGGUCAACUAUAUUUGUUGUAUGGAAUGAUUUUAAUGUGUAUAUGUCUGGCAGGUAUCACCUGACCUUCACGUAGAAUUAAGGGUUCAUUGCAUUUGGUCAAUGUUGAGUUUUCAUGGAUGAGAUUGUUUCUAUAAUUUGUAGGACAACUAUAUUUAAUGUACAGACUGAUUGUAAGGUGUACAUGACUGUCUGGCAUUGUCUGGUUCAUCUGACCUUUACCUUAUUUUCAUGGUUCAUUGGUCAUGUUGGUGAUUAUCAAAAUAGGUUGACUAUAUAUUUGGUGUUCUGAAUGAUUGUAAGGUGCAAAUGUAUUUCUUGUUUGGUUGAUCUCAUGCACCUUGUCCUAGGAUCAUAUUAAGUUUAUGUAAUUCUUGUAGUAAAGCUUUUGAAUUUAAAUAAAGGACUAUCAUGAUCAGCAUAAAUCAAUGGUUGAUAAAGUAAGCGAGAGAUUUCAGUGAGUGCACUCUUAUUUCAUGUAUUUAAUGAUAAAGAGAUUGCAUUGUCGGAACCAAACAUGGAAUUAUUGUUUUAAAAUUUGUAUUUUACUGAGAGGUUGAUGCUUUACAGUUGAUAGCUGUUUCAGACUGAUUUAGAUUAAACUUUUUGACAUUAUAGAUUUUUAACCUUUGUAGAAUGUCUAUGAAAUUAUACAGUAUUAUUUAUUUUCAAGAUCAUGAAAUAUCUAUAAAGGGUUAUUGUAUUUUACUGCAAAAUAAAGCCUUUUUUUGUUAACAAGUGCAUUAGUAGCCAAUACCUGAUUGUCCAAAAAUGUACAGGUUUGGUCUCUCUACAAUAGCUUGAACAUCUACAGGCUUCUUCUUCGGAUAGGUUUCCUUAAAUUCUUCAUUGGUCAGGAAGUUUGCAUGGUCAUAGAGAAAGCUGACCAUGAAGCUUAUAUAUGUAUGGUUCAGGAUAUCUGAAUGGUCAUGCCAUAGUUUAAGGUGAAUCUGUCUCUCCAUGGUCAUUAAUUGGUUAAUAUCUGUAGUGUUGUCUGUUUCAGUGGACUUUGUUGAUGAAAUUUGUUUAAACCUAUUAUUGACGGCCUCCUUUGAUAAUGAUUUGUAGUGCUCGUCACUCUUGGAUAUUAAGACGCCAGAUUUUGUAAGCCUUUGAAUUUCUUUCAGUAUUAUAUCUUUAAGGGGAAUUUUCCGGCCAUAUACUUGAAUUGAUGUUUCUUGAAUAUUACCUGAAGAAUCAAUGGUGUUCUUUCGGAUUUCCUUAGGGGCAAUUUUUAGGCCAAUGUCGUAAAUUUUUGAUUCCAAUUUGUGCUGAAUAAUAGAUUUCAGUUGUUUAGCUGUUCUUUUAUUUGGAAUAGCAAGUUUUCCCCUGAAGACUCGCUUUUUUGACCUCCUAAUUCUUUGAAGAUGGUCCCUUCCACUUAUCCUUAAAUGUGGAUUAAAUUGGUUGACGUCAAUAUCGUUGUCCCGUGCAAAUUGCUUAAGGAUUUGCCCCCCAUUGCCAGCAAGCUUUCCAUUUAACGUGACGUUGUACUUGAUAGCCAUUCGGGUCCAAUUCAUGAUGGUAGAUUUACAAUUUUUUACUUCCUCAAGAAAUUCUUGUCGAUUAAAAUUAUAGUUGGUGUACUUGCCUAUGUGUGUCUUUGGCUUUUUACCUGAGGCAAGUUUGGUCUGUAGGUCAUCAGCUUGUCUUUCAGCUUGGUCGGUUGUAACAUAACAGGUUUGAAGUCGCUCCCUUUCAUACUGUAGAAAAGACUUCCCACUGGCAAGCAAAUUUUGAACAUCACCAUCAUUUUCAGUCAUUGAUUCCGCUAUUUGUUGUGUUGUCUCUCGAAUCGAUGUCAUAAUUUUGUUGUUUUUUUCAACAGCUGAUUUUCUAGGUGUCAUGUUCAUAACAUCUGCCAACGUUUUCUUAAAAUUAAUGUUAUAUUGGGUUUCAAUAAUUGGUUCUAAAACUUUAAUAACAUUUUGAACUGUUUUUUUUCCAAUUGAUGAAGACGGUGACACAAUAAUCUCAUUGAUGUUGUUUACAAGGUCUUUACAUGGCUGUACUAAUGAUGAAGCAUGAGAAUAUGACUUGUGCAGAGAUGAUAUGCUGCCAUGGGUGGUCAAACAGGUGGAACAAUCUUGCAAUUUGUGGCUUUGCUUUUCAUUUUCUGGAAGUUUAAGCCAAUUGAAUAGAGAGAAGUUAUCAGUGAACCUCAUUUUUUCACCAGCUUUGCCAUUAUGCACAAAAUAUUUGCUGUUUGUUACAUAAUUUUGAAGUUUAGGGAGCUGGUUUUUGAAUAUGUCAUAUGAUGGUAUCUGUAGAUUUCUGUAUUUUGUCAUAAAAAUGUUGUAGUUUUCAUGUCUCUGCUGAAUUGAUAUACUAUUUAUAUACUUUGCUUUUACAAAAUUUGAUGUAGUUUUGGAAUUAUCAUAAUUAUUAAAAAAAUCAAUUGCU